GACUGUGAGGGCAAUCUGGCUGCAACAUCUGUUAUCCCAUUGAUCACUAGGGUUGAUUCUAUUGGUCUGGAGUUCUCCCCUUCCUCCCUUUCUGCUCCACGUGCAUUCUUCCUGAAGUUGCAAACUUGGUCAAACAGGAUGACCUUCCUUGACAGAGGAGGCCAGUCUUCCAUUAGGGGAUUAUCAGUAGUUAUGCUCCCCAGCUACAACCUCCAAAUGGACUCUCAAGUUCUUACAUUUUUGAUAUUAAAGGUUAUGAGUCUUUUUAUUUUAAUGAAUCCUGAUGGGGAAUGUACUGUGUAUGUUCAUCUUAUUGA
ensembl:misc_RNA 7SK 7SK RNA